UGCUUCCAUCUCUUCGACGGUACAGGUCUUCGGAUUCUGACGAGUGGCGAACGGGUGAGUAAUACAUCGGAACGUGCCCGAUCGUGGGGGAUAACGGAGCGAAAGCUUUGCUAAUACCGCAUACGAUCUACGGAUGAAAGCAGGGGACCGCAAGGCCUUGCGCGGACGGAGCGGCCGAUGGCAGAUUAGGUAGUUGGUGGGAUAAAAGCUUACCAAGCCGACGAUCUGUAGCUGGUCUGAGAGGACGACCAGCCACACUGGGACUGAGACACGGCCCAGACUCCUACGGGAGGCAGCAGUGGGGAAUUUUGGACAAUGGGCGAAAGCCUGAUCCAGCCAUGCCGCGUGCAGGAUGAAGGCCUUCGGGUUGUAAACUGCUUUUGUACGGAACGAAAAGACUCCUUCUAAUAAAGGGGGUCCAUGACGGUACCGUAAGAAUAASCCCGGCUAACUACGUGCCACAGCCGCGGUAAUACGUARGGNGCAAGCGUUAUCGGAAUACUGGGCGUAAACGUGCCAGGNGUUUAUAAANAAUGUGAAUCCCGGCUCACCUGGACUCUUU
rnacentral:rRNA from 1 species